UAUAUAUAAAUACUUAUUAAUUUGCAGGGUUUCCCGGUUUGGCUGGGUGGCCUUUUGAAUCCAGAAGCUUAUAUAACUGCUACAAGACAGUGUGUCGCCCAAGCAAACAGCUGGCCUCUUGAAGAAUUGCAAUUGGACGUAACCAUCACCGACUCCUCAAGCGAAAAGAAAAAUGUUCCGAGUGAUUGUUUUGCCGUUACAGGCAUAAAACUUCAGGGUGCCCAAUGCCGUAAUAAUCAGCUUCUAUUGACCUCCAGCAUUAUGAUAGAGCUCCCUCUCACGCUCUUACGAUGGGUAAGGGUCGUAGGUGACGAAAAAGUAUCUUGCGACCGUCUAGCCCUCCCAGUGUACUUAAACUCCACCCGUACUGAACUGCUUUUCACAGUUGACUUAAACAUUGCUGCUGGACAAGAUCCUCAUAGCUUUUACGAGAGGGGAGUCGCCUUACUGACUUCAACUGCUCUCAAUUAAAAGGUUUGCAUGCUUUUUUAUUACUUAUUUUUUUAAAAUAUAUUUAGAGAAAUUGUAACUCAUUAUUUUUUUGGUGAAUUCGUAUAGCGUAUUAUUGUAAUAUUACUAGUUGAGGUGCACGCUUUCUGCAAUAAUAAUAAUAAUCAAAAUAAUACACGCAAUUGGAAUGAA